UACGUAGGGGGCUAGCGUUAUCCGGAAUCACUGGGCGUAAAGCGUCUGUAGGCGGUUUAAUAAGUCAACUGUUAAAUCUUGAGGCUCAACCUCAAAAUCGCAGUCGAAACUAUUAGGCUAGAGUAUAGUAGGGGUAAAGGGAAUUUCCAGUGGAGCGGUGAAAUGCGUAGAGAUUGGAAAGAACACCGAUGGCGAAGGCACUUUACUGGGCUAUUACUAACACUCAGAGACGAAAGCUAGGGUAGCAAAUGGG
rnacentral:rRNA from 1 species